GAUGAACGCUAGCGGCAGGCUUAAUACAUGCAAGUCGAGGGACAGCACAGGUAGCAAUACUGGGUGGUAACCGGCAAACGGGUGCGGAACACGUACACAACCUUCCUUUAAGUGGGGGAUAGCCCAGAGAAAUUUGGAUUAAUACCCAGUAAUAUAGUUGAAUGGCAUCAUUUGAUUAUUAUAGCUACGGCGCUUAAUGAUGGGUGUGCGGCUGAUUAGAUAGUUGGCGGGGUAACGGCCCACCAAGUCUACGAUCAGUAGCUGAUGUGAGAGCAUGAUCAGCCACACGGGCACUGAGACACGUGCCCGACUCCUACGGGAGGCAGCAGUAAGGAAUAUUGGUCAAUGGACGCAAGUCUGAACCAGCCAUGCCGCGUGAAGGAUUAAGGUCCUCUGGAUUGUAAACUUCUUUAUUUGGGACGAAAAAGGGCCUUUCUAGGUCAACUGACGGUACCAGAUGAAUAAGCACCGGCUAACUCCGUGCCAGCAGCCGCAGUAAGAC
rnacentral:rRNA from 1 species